CAGAAGGUCAUGCUCAGUGUUGGGGAAGGUGACAUGAGCCAGGUUUGCUCACUGCUGCUCCAAGAUCCUGAGAGGGCUCCUAGCCACAGAGAGAGGCCACGGAGGGACCAACACACAAAAGCCGAGGGUCCCAGAGGGUGGCCAACCUGUCCACGAUGGCAGUCGUGUGAGCCACAAAAGAUACCAGACACCAGCAACUUACGGGACCCUCACCACAGGCUUCAUGGAAGUGGCUCUUCACCAAACCCGGCCAACAACCAGCUGCCUCUUCAGGUCCCCUGCCUUCAGGGUGGCCCCGGCACCACUGGGUGGUAAAGUGCUAAUGGGGCCAAUGUGAGAGGCCGGUUCUUCCAGCUUUCUUCAGAACUCUUUCCCCCAGUAAGUGUCU
rnacentral:lncRNA from 1 species